UACGUAGGGUCCGAGCGUUGUCCGGAAUUACUGGGCGUAAAGAGCUCGUAGGUGGUUUGUCGCGUUGUUCGUGAAAACUCACAGCUCAACUGUGGGCGUGCGGGCGAUACGGGCAGACUUGAGUACUGCAGGGGAGACUGGAAUUCCUGGUGUAGCGGUGGAAUGCGCAGAUAUCAGGAGGAACACCGGUGGCGAAGGCGGGUCUCUGGGACGGUACUGACGCUGAGACGCGAAAGCGUGGGGAGCAAACAGG
rnacentral:rRNA from 1 species